rnacentral:rRNA from 1 species
UACGAAGGGGGCUAGCGUUGCUCGGAAUCACUGGGCGUAAAGGGCGCGUAGGCGGACAUUUAAGUCAGGGGUGAAAGCCCAGAGCUCAACUCUGGAAUGGCCUUUGAUACUGGGUGUCUCGAGUCUGGUAGAGGUUGGUGGAACUGCGAGUGUAGAGGUGAAAUUCGUAGAUAUUCGCAAGAACACCGGUGGCGAAGGCGGCCAACUGGACCAGUACUGACGCUGAGGCGCGAAAGCGUGGGGAGCAAACAGG